AUGCUCCACGUGCUCACAGGGAUCUCUCUGCAGUGGGCUGGUUAUGAGACAUCACACAGAGAACAUAUAUCACUGUUACCAGAUGGGCGAUGUGCUGAAUGUGCUGCUGAUGUGUAUGUGUGUGGAGGGGGAGGAAGGGAGUUAGGGAAGUUUAGAUGGAACACUGAAAACAGCAAUGGAGAAAAGAGUACUGGGGACAUUGUGAUAGAAACGUUUUUAUCCUAUAUGAAUAUGUAUUUCAGUGUUGUAUUACAGUUUUUAACAAUCACUUUGGCACUAAUUUCCGAACCUUGUGGUCAUUUUUCACAACUCUAGACACAAAACUCAAAACGGUCAUCACUUGUAACACAGGCUGUCCAAUGUUCAAAACAUUGCAUUGUGCAUUCAUAUCUUUAAAGAAACCUUGCACUUGCAGAAUCAUUGGUUCAAAUAACUCAUUUAUCAUGAAAUACCAUAGGAACAUUCAUUUAGAUCACCCACACACAAGAUACCGAUAGUUUCACUGUGUAGUUGUUCGUACAAUCAUUAAAUAUUGUAGUACAAAAUAUGUGCUACAUGUUUCAUUAUGCUACUACAUUCAUCACUGUAAAGGGACUAGUAGAGAGAAUACUACAGACACAGUGGAAUCAUUGAACAAAAUCUGACAUUUAUUGAUUUAAUACAAUCAAAUCACAACAUAGGUUUCUUUGAAUCAAAGCAGAAGUAAUUAGCUACAACAAAAGAAAAGACAGAGGUCAACUGCAGUGUUCCUCACCUGGCUUAUUGUAAAAAGACACAAACACACACACACACACACACAUAUUUCCAUCAACCCUGUUGUGGAUUUGGACAUAGGUUCUCAUCCACAUCACAAUGGAUGUUUUCAUUAGCCAAACAUCUUGGGAAGAAUCUUCGGGCAUGGCGAAUCCAGGCCUGACACUGGUCUGCCGUGAUGUCAUAGCAUGCGUCAUUCAUGGCCUGGAGAAGGACGGCUUGUUCGUGAGGGCGUCUAUCAUAUACCUCCCACCUCCAUGUGGACAAAAAUUCCUCAAUCGUGUUAAGGAAAGGAGAGUAUGGGGGUAAGCACAGGGUGGUAAAUUGUGGAUGGGCCUGAAACCAUGCUUGCACCAUUUGGUGGAACCUGACAUUAUCCCACACAAUGACAUAGGUCAUGCCAUCAGCUCUACAGACCUGAUUUAGCUCAUCAAGGACGGUUACAUUCGAACAGCGAAUCAUGUGGCUGCCUGCAACUCAAUAUAUAGAGUAUAUAGAGUAGAGAGAUUUAGAUGUUGUUCAACCAAACAUAACGGUCAAGACGAGUAAUCUAAGCAACUUUGACCAUGGUAUGAUUGUUAAUGCCACACAUGGUGAUUCCAGCAUCUCAGAAACAGCUGCCCUCCUGGGAUUUUUACGCACUACAGUCUCUAGAGUUUACAGAGAAUGGUGCGAUAAACAAAACACAUUCAGUGAGCGACAUUUCUGUGGGCAAAACCACCUUGUUAAUGAGAGAGGUCAGAGGAGAAUGUCCAGACUCAUUCAAGCCAACAGAAAAGCCACAAAUGCUCAAAUAACAGCUGUUUAAAACAGUGGUAUGCAGAAGGGCAUCUCUUAAUGUACAACACCGUGAAUAAUUCAGGCUGUUGUGGAGGCAAAAGGGGGUCCUACAUAGUACUAGAUAGGUGUACCUAAUAAAGUGGCCGGUGAGUAUACAGUAAUGUCAAAUCUGAAAACGGUCUGAAAAAAUGGUACAUGGGACCAUAGAAACAGUGUCUGAUAAAGAAUGAUGAUGAAAUAUUACAGCCAUAGAUAAUGAAGUCCAAUUGGUUCAUGUUCCACGGUAAUUGAAACUUUCAUGAUCUAAACAUGGAAUAUUGUUCGUCAGUUUCCAUAAAACUAGGCAUUAAGAGUAACGCAACAGUUACUUAUCAUUCUGAGCAGUUGUAUCAAUUGAUAGUUAGAUCAUUGUAAUGAAAUGAAUAGACAGUCAUUUCAGAUGUAAUGUGUGAUUUGCUUUUUGAAAUGGUAAUACUUUGAUGUCAAGUUGUGUCAUUUUGAACAAGUGAUUUUAAUUCAAUGAACAAAUGAUCUUAGCUUUAUGUGUAUUGUAUCCAGGAAAUUGGAAAAAGUGUAAGAGUUUUUAAAAAUGUUCCGAAAUUAGUGCCAAAGUGAUUGUAAAAAACUGUAGUAGUGUAGGUACAUCAUAACAUCAUGGUCAUAGUAUUAAAAUCUGAUGAAAAUGUGCCCCUCACAGCUCCCCGCAUAGGGAAUGUAAUGGAUACAUUGGAUUGGGUAUAUUAGCUGUGUAAGUCACAGAAUANNNNNNNNNNNNNNNNNNNNNNNNNNNNNNNNNNNNNNNNNNNNNNNNCACACACACACACACACACACACACACACACACACACACACACACACACACACACACAGAGAGAGAGAGAGAGUUACAGCUAAACCACAACCAGUAAAAAUGCCUUGUUAGUGAGUUGUGAGACACUUUAUGGUUUGUGAGUGACUGAGGCAGAUGCUGAUUUAGAUUUUCUUGAUAGAGAUUAAGCCUAUGUCUCUGCUAGCUAGUGUGUUACCGGGUCAGAGAAGUAUAUGAAGGUAUGAAACAGUGCUGAAAAACAACAACAGGAAGCCAUGGGCAGGUCUCCAUAGUGACAAAAGAACAACCUGGAAACAUGUAAAGCCCCCACCCUAACUGCCUUCCACCUUUCUGAGGGAGCGGUACAGGGAAGGGAAUCAGGGAGAGGGAAGGGGAUGUAAUGCUUCUCUCCAGUAUUACUGAGUCAUUAUAGACUUCAAGCUUUCCGAGUUCUGACCUUUUCUUUGUACACGCGCACACACACACACACNNNNNNNNNNNNNNNNNNNNNNNNNNNNNNNNNNNNNNNNNNNNNNNNNNNNNNNNNNNNNNNNNNNNNNNNNNNNNNNNNNNNNNNNNNNNNNCUGUCCUGGGCCCUCUGAGCCCAUCAGAGCUGUGAAACAAAUUAGCUGAAAUGCCCCUCCCUCUCCUCUCACAGGACCUGCCUUUGUCUGCCUGUCCUCCAUCGCUCUAUCCCUCUCAAUCUCUUCUCUCAUCCCCAGUCUCCUGAUUCACUCACUCCAUCCAGACUGAAGAGUCUGACUUUAGAGAGGGUCACUGGAGCAUAUUUCUUUGUGUGUGUGAGUGAGUAAGUGAGUGAGUGAGUGAAUGAGUGAGUGAGUGAGUGACAGGGCUCCACAGUGCAUGACUCCUAACCAAUUAAGAACAGAGCAGUGAAACAGGGUGAGACGAAGGCCAGGGUAGUUAAGACCUCAGCUUCCCAGCUCACAUGAUAAGGCUUCUGCCCCCUAAAACAACUUAUCCUCUAUUGAUUUGCAGUUGUAUGGUGUAGAGAGGUGCUAGCUUACAUUUAGGCAGGCUUGAGAUCGUUUACAAAAUGCCAUGUGGUGCAGUAUGUUUUCUGCUUCAUUGUGUAACCCGCUAUUGCGUAAAUGGUUGUUUGCAAUGCUGGUAAUCAUGCUACUAUGUUCCUUAGAAUAAAGAUGCAUU
rnacentral:lncRNA from 13 species